CCUCUCCCACAAAAAGCCACGCUUUAUACUAGUUUUUAGUAUUAUUUUGUACAUCCCACUUCGCCUCAUUUAUUAGGGUUCUCCCUCCUUUCUCUUUCUUCUCUCCAUAAUACUAAAUCUUCCCCAUUUCACAUCCAUCAAGUUGAAGCCACUGAUUUUAGUAGGAGUACUGGUAUAUACCAAAGGGCCACCCUGUACUAGCCAUCAAAAGCCCAAGCCAAUAAUUCAGUUGUUGUUAGUUGGAGUUUUGCUAUUAGUCUUCUUUCUGGUGUUGGUUUGUUUAAGUUUGGUUUGAAGAUAUGGAAAUUGAUUUUUACAAAGCCCCAGAUUGAUUUUUUGUGCUAGAAUCCUUGGAUUAUCUUGGCUGAAGAUCAAGAAAAGAGCUUGAAUAGCAGGAUCCAACAUUAGACCCAGAAAAAAUAUUCAGUCAUUUUGUUUUACCCAUUUUGUUGUUUACGGUCUGAAAUCUUGUGGGUUUUGGAUUUCACCAAGUGGGUUUGAGUUGAUUGUCGUAUUAAAAAUCUGGGAUGGGAGAGAUGGUGGAUAAAGGGAUUGAACAUUUGGUAUCUGCAAGAAAAUCACUGAAGCUCAGUUUAGACAAAUCUAAAGCAUUAGGUUUAUCUCUUGAGAAAAUUGGACCUAGAUUAGAUGAGAUUAAUCAGAGAUUACCAUCAUUAGAAGCUGCCGUUAGACCAAUUCGGGCACAGAAGGAUGCUCUUGCUGCUGUUGGAGGUCAUAUAAAUCGAGCUGUGGUCCCUGCCACUGCUGUUCUUAAGGUUUUUGAUGCCAUCCAUGGCCUGGAAAAGUCCUUGUCUGAUCCCCAAUCAGAUCUUCCUGGGUACCUUGGUGUCCUGAAGAGACUUGAGGAGGCAUUGAUGUUUUUGGGGGAAAACUGCGGCAUGGCAAUUCAGUGGUUGGCUGAUAUUGUGGAGUAUUUAGAGGAUCAUAAGGUUGCAGAUAGUAGGUUCAUUUCGAAUUUGAAGAAGGCACUGGAGCAUCUUAGGGAGUUGCAGAUGAAUGAGGAAAGGGGUUGUCUUGAUGGGGGGCUGCUUGAGGCUGCCUUGGACAGGUUAGAGAUUGAAUUUCGGCGGCUUUUGACAGAGAACAGUGUGCCGUUGCCUAUGUCUUCAUCUCCUUUGCCUGGAGAACAAGCCUGCAUUGCACCAUCUCCGCUGCCAGUUGCUGUCAUUCAAAAAUUGCAGGCUAUCCUUGGUAGGUUAAUUGCCAAUAAUAGACUUGAUAAAUGCAUCUCUAUUUAUAUUGAAGUCCGUAGCUCAAAUGUUCGGGCAAGUUUGCAGGCACUUAAUUUGGAUUACCUUGAGAUAUCUGUCUCUGAGUUCAAUGAUGUGUUAAGUAUAGAAGGCCACAUAGCUCAAUGGGGAAAGCAUUUGGAGUUUGCUGUGAAGCACCUGUUCGAGGCUGAGUAUAAACUUUGUAACGAUGUGUUUGAAAGAUUAGGUUUGGAUGUUUGGAUGAGCUGCUUUGCAAAAAUUGCUGCCCAAGCAGGUAUCCUUGCAUUCCUUCAAUUUGGGAAAACUGUUACAGAGAGUAAAAAAGAUCCAAUUAAGCUGUUAAAGCUGUUGGAUAUCUUUGCAUCUUUGAACAAGUUAAGAUUAGAUUUUAACCGGCUCUUUGGUGGAGGAGCCUGUGCUGAAAUCCAAAAUCUGACAAGGGAUCUCAUCAGGAGGGUGAUAGAAGGGGCUUGUGAAAUCUUUUGGGAGCUUUCAGUUCAGGUUGAAUUGCAGAGGCAAGUGCCACCUCCUCCAGAUGGCAGUGUCCCAAAGCUGGUUAUCUUUAUUGCUGAUUAUUGCAACAAGUUGCUUGGAGAUGACUACAAGUCAAUUCUGACUCAAGUUCUGGUGAUUGAAAGAAGUUGGAAGCAUGAGAAAUUCCAGGAGAGGCUUCUCAUUGGGGAGUUGUUGAGUUUAAUGAGAUCUGUUGAGCUGAAUCUGGAUAAGUGGUCAAAAGCUUAUGAGGACGCUGUUUUGUCAAGCAUCUUCUUAAUGAAUAAUCACUGGCAUUUGUACAAGCACCUUAAAGGUACAAAGCUGGGGAGUCUACUGGGAGAUUCUUGGUUAAGAGAACAUGAACGAAAUAAGGAGUACCAUUCUGCUAUAUUUUUGAGUGAGAGCUGGGGAAAACUUCCUUCUUUGUUAAGCAGGGAAGGUCUCAUUUUGUUUUCUGGUGGACGUGCUACUGCUCGUGACCUGGUCAAGAAAAGAUUGAAAGCUUUCAAUGAAGCCUUCGAUGACAUGUAUAAGAAGCAGUCCAACUGGGUUAUAUUGGACAAAGAUUUGCGAGAGAAGACGUGUCAAGUUAUAGUUCAGGCAAUUGUGCCUGUUUAUCGUAGCUACAUGCAGAACUAUGGCCCUUUGGUUGAGCAAGAUGCAAGUGCGAGCAAAUAUGCCAAGUACACUGCUCAAUCUUUGGAGAAAAUGCUCAAUUCUCUGUUUCAGCCGAAGCCUGUGAAGUAUGGGAGCUUCAAAGUUAGGCAAUCUAGUGGGAAAUUCAACAAUGGGGUGACAGAUCAUUGUCAUAGCACUUCUCCUGUGGCAAAAUAAACUUCAAUUAUGAAUUAGAGAGAUUUCAUGGUUUGCCUGAAUAGAGUUCUCAAGUGUCGCCCUUCACAAUUCUAGCCAGGCUUUUAUGCUGUGUAUAUAAAAACGACUACCAAUUGUAUCCAGAUUCCAGCUCGUGUAGAGGAGAUUAGAGUGUGGAUCUGGUCUGGCUGUUUUCCAUACAGGAUUACAUAGUCGGAUACAAAUUGUGAUAGGAUGAAUACUAUGUUCUUCUCCAAGUGCUUUCCUACAUGCUGGUGUUUUCCAGAAUACCACAUGCAUGGAUCACAUGGCUCUCAUUUCAGCUGGUUCCAGAUUUUUGGAGGGCAUUUAUAUUCGUAGCUGGUCCUUGUAUCUUCACUUAUUGAUUCAGCUGCUAGGUUACUAGAGGAUGCAGUUCCUUGUCCUUGCUUUUAUGAGGAUGGUGAAGUUUAACUGUGGCUCCAAAAGGGCAAAUAAAGAAAAGAUUAAUUUAAAUCCAUUUGGAUGGACCUUUUUCGCUACUAUGAUUUUGAUUCAUCACCUGCUAUAGAAUGUUCUGUUGCAGUUUUCUUGCCAGAUUAAAAUGCUGCAUCAGGUGCUUCAAGACGGUUUGUUUCCAGCAGCUGGGUAGUAAUUGUGAUCGAUGAACUUACCUGCGGUGUUGAGCUUGAUUUAGUUUGUUGAAUGGCUGCUAUUCAGAAUACAAUAAUGGUCUCUCAUGGU